GGGUGUGUGCAAAAAUCUGAAUUCUAGGUUUUUGAUCCUAAGAAUUUGGAAAGAGAGAAAAAAUAAGAAAAAAAAUAUUUUCUUCUCUAUCUUUCUUCCACCUCAUCAUCUCCUCCAAAAGUUCAUCUUCAAUCCUAGAAAAGUUUUAGAGAUUUGAAGAAAGGAUUCAGAUCAGCCAAGAAAAAGAUCUUCAUAUGAGC
rnacentral:lncRNA from 1 species